GGACCCGCACAAGUAGUGGAGCAUGUGGUUUAAUUCGAAGAUACGCGCAGAACCUUACCAACACUUGACAUGUUCGUCGCGACUUUAAGAGAUUAAAGUUUUCGGUUCGGCCGGACGAAACACAGGUGCUGCAUGGCUGUCGUCAGCUCGUGUCGUGAGAUGUUGGGUUAAGUCCCGCAACGAGCGCAACCCUCACUUUUAGUUGCCAUCAUUAAGUUGGGCACUCUGAAAGAACUGCCAGUGAUAAGCUGGAGGAAGGUGGGGAUGACGUCAAGUCCUCAUGGCCCUUACGUGUUGGGCUACACACGUGCUACAAUGGUAUCUACAACAGGAAGCAAGACUGCGAGGUCAAGCAAAUCUCAUAAACCGUGGCUCAGUUCAGAUCGUAGGCUGCAACUCGCCUACGUGAAGGAGGAAUC
rnacentral:rRNA from 1 species